rnacentral:rRNA from 1 species
CCUACGGGUGGCUGCAGUGAGGAAUAUUGGUCAAUGGGCGAGAGCCUGAACCAGCCAAGUCGCGUGAAGGAUGACGGCCCUACGGGUUGUAAACUUCUUUUGUAAGGGAGCAAAUCGGUCCACGCGUGGGCUUAGCGAGAGUACCUGAAGAAAAAGCAUCGGCAAACUCCGUGCCAGAAGCCGCGGUAAUACGGAGGAUGCGAGCGUUAUCCGGAUUUUUUGGGUUUAACGGGUGCGGAGGCGGAAUAUCAAGUCAUGGGAAAAAAUUCGGGGCACAACCCCGACGGGCCGUUGAAACUGAAGUUCUUGAGUGAGCGAGAAGUAGGCGGAAUGCGUGGUGUAGCGUGGAAAGGCAUAGAUAUCACGCAGAACUCCGAUGGCGAGGGCAGCAUAUCGGCGCCCAACUGACGCGGAAGCACGAAAGCGUGGGUAUCGAACAGGAUUAGAUACCCCGGUAUC